UGUGCGUGUUUUGAUCGACCAGGAGGGUGCUCCAAGGAGCAAAACCCUAGUUCACACCAAAUGACCAAAUUGAAGCUCGAAUCAAGACUUAAAUCAAUGCAUGAACACAAAUUCGUAAUCACCUAAGUGUGGGGAUCGAAAGUUUGUCGCCUAACGAGCUAGGUGGAGGCUUGAGAAAGAAGCGGUCAAACGAAUCAAGCACGAGAAGAAAAAGCGUAUUCGGAUGCGAGGUACAUUUUGGAUGCUGGAAGACGAUCAAGCUCAUCGAAGAACCGAACACGAUAAAGAUACAUGCUUCCGCACAUUGCCUCGUCGUAAAUUUUAAACGACAAAUUCGACCACUUAUGUUGAAUAACUUAUGAUUUGUAAAAGUUUUAAUAAACUCGUAUUUUUAUAGUAUGUGUAGUCUUAAU
rnacentral:lncRNA from 1 species